rnacentral:rRNA from 1 species
UACGUAGGGUGCAAGCGUUAAUCGGAAUUACUGGGCGUAAAGCGUGCGCAGGCGGUUUUGUAAGUCUGUCGUGAAAUCCCCGGGCUCAACCUGGGAAUUGCGAUGGAGACUGCAAGGCUAGAAUCUGGCAGAGGGGGGUAGAAUUCCACGUGUAGCAGUGAAAUGCGUAGAGAUGUGGAGGAACACCGGAUGGCGAAGGCAGCCCCCUGGGGUCAAGAUUGACGCUCAUGCACGAAAGCGUGGGGGAGC